rnacentral:rRNA from 1 species
AACGAACGCUGGCGGCAUGCCUAACACAUGCCAGUCGAACGAGACCUUCGGGUCUAGUGGCGCACGGGUGCGUAACGCGUGGGAACCUGCCCUUAGGUUCGGAAUAACUCCCCGAAAGGGGUGCUAAUACCGGAUAAUGUCUUCGGACCAAAGAUUUAUCGCCUUUGGAUGGGCCCGCGUUGGAUUAGCUAGUUGGUAGGGUAAAAGCCUACCAAGGCGACGAUCCAUAGCUGGUCUGAGAGGAUGAUCAGCCACACUGGGACUGAGACACGACCCAGACUCCUACGGGAGGCAGCAGUGGGGAAUAUUGGACAAUGGGCGAAAGCCUGAUCCAGCAAUGCCGCGUGAGUGAUGAAGGCCUUAGGGUUGUAAAGCUCUUUUACCCGGGAUGAUAAUGACAGUACCGGGAGAAUAAGCGCCGGCUAACUCCGUG